AAGUCGUAACAAGGUUUCCGUAGGUGAACCUGCGGAAGGAUCAUUAACACGUAUCCAACGUUAAAAACCCUGUGCACCUUCAUUCCUGCUCUCCUUGUGUGGUGGAAGCAAUCUCUGGUAAAUCACGUGAACAGUUUGAUUCAGAGACCUCUUCUGCUGCACUUGGAUUUGAUGCGGUCGUCGCAAAUAGGCUUGUCUCUACGGGGUAGUUAGUGGGUGAAAGUGCCACUGAUUGCUUAAGUAGGGUACGGGUAAUCUUCAGGAUACGGGCCAAAACCCUUUAGGUGAUGGCAUUCCUUCCUGGAGGUCCCGGAUCAUCGAGUGUCAACACGGCCGAUGAACAAAGUCUCUGAGCGUAAGCUCCAAUUUCACCCCGUCCCCUUAUUACGGGCUGCACGCUUAGCGAUGGUUCUC
rnacentral:misc_RNA from 1 species